UACGUAGGGGGCAAGCGUUGUCCGGAAUCAUUGGGCGUAAAGCGCGUGUAGGCGGCUUGGGAAGUCCGCUCUGAAAGCCCGGGGCUCAACCCCGGGAGGCGGGUGGAUACUGUCAAGCUCGAGUCCGGAAGAGGCGAGUGGAAUUCCUGGUGUAGCGGUGAAAUGCGCAGAUAUCAGGAGGAACACCAAUGGCGAAGGCAGCUCGCUGGGACGUGACUGACGCUGAGACGCGAAAGCGUGGGGAGCAAACAGG
rnacentral:rRNA from 1 species